rnacentral:rRNA from 1 species
AUUUAACGCUGGCGGCAGGCUUAACACAUGCAAGUCGAGCGAGCGGCGGGCGGGUGAGUAAUGUCUGGGAAACUGCCUGAUGGAGGGGGAUACCUACUGGAAACGGUAGCUAAUAAAGCAUCCCAUCAGAUGUGCCCCGAUGGGAUGAGCUAGUAUUUGGGGUAAUGUCUCACCUAGGCGACGAUACCUAGCUGGUCUGAGAUGAUGACCAGCCAAACUGGAAAUGAGACAAGGUCCAGACUCAUACGGGAGGCAGCAGGGGUGAAUAUUGCACAAUGGGCGAAAGCCGGAUGCAGCCAUGCCGCGGGUGUGAAGAAGGCCUUCGGGUUGUAAAGCACUUUCAGCGAGGAGGCGUUACUCGCAGAAGAAGCACCGGCUAACUCCGUGCCAGCAGCCGCGGUAAUUC